GCACCACUGCAGCUCGGGGCAGGGAAAGGGAAAACCUUCCUCACCCCAGGGAAGAAGUCACCAGCUGUGUUGUUGAUAACCACUUCUCCCAGGUCACUCUGCUUUUCUCCACCUCACAAAAACCUGGAAGCAGGAUUUAGACCUCUUUUCUAAUUUCAGAACCUCUCAGUCAGCACAGAACUAUGGUUUAGGCCAGUACAGCCCUGGUGCGUGCCUGUGGCCUUCCUGUGGUAGGAACAGAGGAGAGGUUCCAGAGAACUCUGCCACAUGUGUCAAAGCUUCCUUUCUUCUAGGAUGGCUUGAUCAGGAGGCUCUUCAGGUGUGGCUGCCAGCAGUACCAAACUUUUCCUUACAACUUAGCAACUCUAUUCCAGCAAAGUCCCAGGCUAGUCACAUGCCAUGCUAAUUUCUGAAUCUGUCACCAUGACUCUGUCCAAGUCUGGCUUCUGUCGAGCUCUGAAGCCAGAACGUGAAAUUGGCCCCAUGAAACCACAUGGCCCGAAGGACCAAGUCUUUGCAAAACCUAUCAAAUGGAUGGAUGGCUUCAAGACAGCAGAGAACCCACAAGCUUGAAGAGGCCUCCGGAGAGUUCACUCAGGAUAAACGGGGUGCUGGCAUCGUCCUGGUCCUCUCUGUACAGUAACAGUGUUACAGCCCUGUGAGUUCAGUAGUAAAGGAUCUGGAGUCCAUGGGGAAAUUCUAAGGAGAUCAAUGGAACUGAUAUAUUAUAUAGCCAAAUACUUAUUAAUAAAGUAACCAUCCUUAUAAAGGC
rnacentral:lncRNA from 1 species